rnacentral:rRNA from 1 species
GACGAACGCUGGCGGCGUGCUUAACACAUGCAAGUCGAACGGAAAGGCCCUGCUUUUGUGGGGUGCUCGAGUGGCGAACGGGUGAGUAACACGUGAGUAACCUGCCCUUGACUUUGGGAUAACUUCAGGAAACUGGGGCUAAUACCGGAUAGGAGCUCCUGCUGCAUGGUGGGGGUUGGAAAGUUUCGGCGGUUGGGGAUGGACUCGCGGCUUAUCAGCUUGUUGGUGGGGUAGUGGCUUACCAAGGUUUUGACGGGUGGCCGGCCUGAGAGGGUGACCGGCCACAUUGGGACUGAGAUACGGCCCAGACUCCUACGGGAGGCAGCAGUGGGGAAUAUUGCACAAUGGGCGGAAGCCUGAUGCAGCAACGCCGCGUGCGGGAUGACGGCCUUCGGGUUGUAAACCGCUUUCGCCUGUGACGAAGCGUGAGUGACGGUAAUGGGUAAAGAAGCACCGGCUAACUACGUG